rnacentral:lncRNA from 1 species
UAGACAAUUAACAUAAUGACGACGACGAUGAUGAUGAUGAUGACGACGAUUACGCAGCUAGUAGUGAUGCUGAUGAUGAUCAUGACGAGAGCGGUUGAAGCCUGCCGAACGUGUUUUAAGAAAACAUCACAGGUGAGGGGGGGAGGGCUGACGACAACCCAUCGUUAUUUCUAAUUUAAACUCAACCCCCACACCCCCUUCGCCAGCGGAGCCUCAAGCAAACUUAAUACCACUUUUUCCUACUACUACUACUACUACUUAUGCAUUGUCUUUGAUCUCUGUACCCCUAACCCCACCUCCCACCUUUUUUUUUUUUUUUAAUGUUUUUUUUAUUCUCUUUGUCGCUCUUGUGGCAAAAACAAAAACGGUUCAAAAUCCCGCCAUGCCCAACUCCACCUUUCAUCCUUUCCGCUCCAAUGAAAUCACCUUGCUCUCUUCCCACCCAAAUUUCAGGCCUUCUACCUAUUAGUAGAAAAGAUUAUUGUUAUUAUUAUUAUUAAGGCAGUAAGCUGGCAGAGUGGUUAGCACACUUGGCAGUAUUUCAUCUGUUUUAACAUUCUGAGUUCAAAUUCCACUGAGGUUGACUUUUGCCUUUCAUCUUUUUUUGGGGGGGGGGAGUCAAUGAAUUAAGUACCACUGCGUACUGGGGGUCGAUCUAAUUGACUGGCUCCAAUUCCCCCAAAAAUUUAGGGCCUUCUGCUUAGAGUUGAAAAGAAUUGUUACCACCCCGUGCAAAAUGCUUCAUGGUAUCUCUUCCCCCUUGAAGGCGGCGAGCUGGCAGAAUCAUUAGCAUGCCAGGCGAAAUGCUUUGUGGUAUUUCGUCUGCCGCUGCAUUCUGAGUUCAAAUUCCGCCGAGGUCGACUCUACCUCUCAACCUUUCGGGGUCGAUAAAUUAAGUACCAGUUACGCACUGGGGUGAAUAUAAUCGACUUAAUCCAUACGUCUGUCCUUGUUUGUCCUUCUCUAUGUUUGGCCCCUUUUGGGUAGUAAAGAAAUAGGUAUUUCUUCCUCCUCCUUUGAGUUCUGAGAUGAAAUUCUGCUCAGCUCGACUUUGCCCCUCCCCACUCCAUAUUUCAGGCCUUGUGCCUAUUAGUAGAAAAGAUUAUUAUUAUUAUUAUUAAGGGUGUUGGAUUGGCAGACUCGUUAGUGUCGUGACAAAUGCUCUCAUUCUUUAAAUUCUGGUUUCAAAUCCUAGUGGGGUGCACUUUGCAUUUGGGUCCCACCAAGGUUGACCACACAAGUUAACAGUCCCAUAUUCAGGUGCUUGACAGGGUCGACUAACCCCCACCUGUUGGGCCAAUAACAAACCAUUGUUACUACCACCACAAUCAGUAUUACUACUCCCACUGCUACUCCGGUAAUCUUCCUUAAUAAACCGUAAUGUCUGACCCUGGAUUCUUCGUUGUUCGUAAAGGACCUGUUUUUGUAUUGUUUAGUUUUUCUCUUAAUUUUACAAUUCAAAUACUUUAAAAACUUCAAAAUAGCAUUUUCAGAUUUCAGAAAAUGGUAUUUCUCAGCUUAUUUCUAAAAAAGUAUUUUGAGAUUCUGAAAAAUAUAAUUUAGAUUUUAGCAUUUUGUCCUACCCAGUGGAGUCACUUGUGCCUCUCUCUCCACCAUGGCCUUAAUAUGGCGCAAGAUGGGGUUGGUAGCAUUAGGCAAAGAAACAUUGUUAAUUUUGCAAAAUAUAAAGAUUUUGUAAUCUAAAAUGUUUCUAAUUUUUAGAAAUGCAAUUUAAAAUUUUUAAAAAAAGCAUUUUUAAAUUAUAUAAAAAAAAAUACAUACUUUGUAAUUUGAGAAAAUUUUUUUAAAAAUUAAAAUUCAUUUUCUUAAAUUUUGGAGAAAACAUUUUGAAGAAAAGAAAAGAAUUUUUCUUUUAAAGAACAGCUUUUAUAAAUUUUUCUAAAAAAUGUUUUGAAAUUCGAAAAAUGUGUAAAGUUUAUCAGAAAUGAAUUUUGCAAAAUUUUUCUGGAUAAUUUUUUGCAUUUUAGAAGUGGCAGAAAACAGGAGUUUUUUUUUGUUUUGUUUAUCUAUCUAUCUAUAUAUAUAUAUAUAUAUAUAUAUAUAUAUAUAUAUAUAUAUUUGAGUAGUUGAAUGAAUUUUCUUAUUAAGGAUAAUUCGAAAGAUAACCGAUACCUGGGUAGCAAAUUCACAUCAGAAAGAACACGGUUGAAUCUACGUCCCUAGGGCAUAGACUACCCUCUUCGUGCGGAAAUUUGUAUGUUUAUUUUAAAAUAUACUUUCAUAUACUUAUAAUUUUAAAAUAUAUAUAUAUAUAUAUAUAUAUAUAUAUAUAUGUAUGUAGAAUUAACUGAAAAAUCCAAAUAUUUUUUCCGUAUAAUGUGUCAUGGACAUCAAUUAUGUCUUUGAGGCUGGAGAGAUGACGUGAUAGCAGCGUUAUUCAGCAUUUUUGCUUAAAAAACAAAAAGCCAUCAGAUGCCGCUUGUCCAAUAUUUUCAAUUGCCAUUCUUUCUGGGAGUUUACUCUGGCAGGAUUAUUAUUAUUAUUAUUAUUAUUAAGGCGGUGAGCUGGCAGAACCGUUAGCUUGCCAGGAAAUAUGCUUAGCAGCAUUUCGUCUGUCUGAGUUCAAAUCCUGCCACGGCCAACUUUGCCUUUCGUCCUUUUGGAGGUCGAUAAAACAAGUACCGGUUACCUACUGGGGUUGAUAUUAUUGACUAGUCCCCUUGCCCACUAAAGGAACAAGCCUUGUUCCGUUAGUAGAAGGAAUUAGUCUUUUCUUUGUGGUGGUGGUCUUUUGAUACAGCAGACGGUAAGGAUUGUGCAUUGCUGCCCUCCCACUCCCUGGCCCCAGAGCGGAGGAAUUUGCAGUGGGACGGGGGUCGGUCAGCUGGUUCGGUUUGCCUUCUCGGUUGGUCUCUUGUUUCCUUCGCUGUGGUUGCCACCAGAUUCCUGCCCUCUGUCUGAGGAGGCAGGAAAGGAGGCCCCGUGUCACAGCAACACCCCACCCAUUCACCUACCCGUCCCACCGCCUCUCUCUUUACCCCCUACAAAACUACCGGAUGUCAAAGCCUAUGUAUAUAAACAUAAAUCUCACCAACAAAUCCAGGAGUUCUUUUCUUAUCUGAACGAGUUUUCUGAGCUGCCGUAACUUUGUAUUCACCAUUAUUAGACUCAUCCAACUCUUUCUCAAUCCUCUGUGCUGACCACAGACUGACUCCCAAAUGCCAAAUUUCUGGCAGAGUGAAUUGCGUCAUGGUGCUGGUUUUCCUCGCAGACGGUGCCCAACUGACCCUACUACACUGUGUAGUCGACAGAAUCAAAAACUAACAGUGCACAUGGUGCGAAAUUAAAAAUAUAGAAUGGCAACAAUUUACCCAUCGCACCCUGUAUAUAUGUGUGUGUAUAUAUAUAUAUGUAUAUGUAUAUGUGUAUAUAUGUAUAUGUGUAUAUAUAUAUAUGUAUAUGUGUAUAUGUAUAUGUGUAUAUAUAUGUAUAUGUGUAUAUAUAUGUAUAUGUGUAUAUAUAUAUGUAUAUGUGUAUAUAUAUAUAUGUAUAUGUGUAUAUAUAUAUGUAUAUGUGUGUAUAUACAUAUAUAUAUAUAUAUAUAAUUUACAAGAUAAGGGCAGAAGAAAUAUUCUAAUGCCAAAUAUGCCGAAACAAAAGAAAAUUUGUCGAUAACCAUUAAAUUUAUGCAUCUCGAAACAAACCGAUAGAAGAAAUUCGUUAUUACCGUAUUGGUCCAAUUUCGGGGUUAAUUCAUAAGAAAAUUUUCCCCUCUUCAGCGGCAAAUGCGCGAGAUAUAAAUGAAUUUAUAUAAAUUCGCAUAAAUUUAAUGGUUAUCGACAAAUUUUUUUUUUUGUUUUCGGCAUAUUUGGCAUUAGAAUUUUUCUUCUGCCUUAUGCAUAAAUUUUACCUUUAAAGGCAUUUUUUGAUAUGCUGGCCAUUGAUAAAAUUAUUUUCCCGAAAAAAAUUUUAUCCUAUAUUAAUUAUAUAUAUAUAUAUAUAUACACUCACACACAUGUUUAUAUAUAUACACACGUGUAUAUACGUGCAUGUUUGCAUAUAUAUACAUGUAUAUAUUGCAAUAAUCAUCAUCAUCGUUAUUGUCAUUACUGCUAUUAUAAUUAUUAAUUACUAUUAUUAUGAUCUGAAUUGAACGGCGUAUUAACAGUUACCAAUAUUACAAUUAUCAAUAUUAUAAUUAUGAAUAUU